rnacentral:rRNA from 1 species
UACAGAGGUCCCAAGCGUUGUUCGGAUUCACUGGGCGUAAAGGGUGCGUAGGUGGUUAGGUAAGUCCGAUGUGAAAUCUCCAGGCUCAACCUGGAAAUGGCAUUGGAUACUAUCUAGCUUGAGGAGUGGAGGGGGGACUGGAAUUCUCGGUGUAGCAGUGAAAUGCGUAGAUAUCGAGAGGAACACCAGUGGCGAAGGCGAGUCCCUGGACACUUCCUGACGCUGAGGCGCGAAAGCGUGGGGAGCAAACAGG